AAAACACAAGCUAUCAUGAUCUUGACAAACUCAGGGCGCUGCCUGUGACAAGCUGGGACCAGAGCAAGAUUGAAAUGAGUCUAGAACAUAAAUACAUAAACUAAGCCUUCUGGCUGUGCAAGUGACUGAAUAUGUCUCAUAAAGCUUUGGACAUAAUCAGUAUGUUUCCUCACUACGGUUGUAUUGGUUUUAAUUAGACCUUGUUGCGAUUAUUGUACAAUGUUUUCAGAGCCCUGUAAUUUCAGAAAGUUAGGUUAUGUUAAAUUACGAUAAAGAACAAGCAGGACUUCUGGUUCCAGAGAGAAAUGUGAAAAGAAAACACAUGGCAGUAAAUUGCAAGAAAAGCAAUCAGAGUAGCCGAGGAGGUAAGCUUCACUUAUCACUGAUCCUCUCAACCGUUCAUUGACACACUUAAGCCAAGCAGGCGGACUUCCUCUGAUGGAACGGGCAACAGAGGUGAAGGAGGAUUUUGCUUUGGAACCUGGGGUCUGCUCUCAGCACUGGAGGACAGUGGUGUAUUCACAAGAUUUCCCCAGAGACAAUGGUCUUUCCACAGUGGGGAUUUAGCUCAAUUGGUUUCUGGCUGGCAGCACGGUAGUGACUGGUUAGAGUGUCUGCCUCACAGUUCUGAGGACUGUGGUUCAAUCCCCGGCCCCGCCUGUGGGGAGUUUCCAAGUUCUCCCUGUGCCUGUGUGGAAAAACAUCCAUGGUCUUGUUUCUCUGCCUCCAAUUUAUAUUUUGUUUCUGCACUCUCCUUGGUGAGCGUUGGCGGGCGCAACCUCCUGCGCCGCACCUGCUGUCGAUGAUCAUCAACCAGCCUGUUCAUCACGACACAGUGUGCGAUGUUUAAAAAGGAUGUUUUUAAUCUGCACGAGUUCUCCCCAUGAUGUGAUCUAGUGGACUGUGGACAAGGACAAAAGGAGCGGCCAAAACAUUCAUCUGAGAACAGUGCUUGGCAAGUUAUUUCCCAAAAUGUACAUUUGUGGUUAUGCUGAUUUCAAAGUUUAUUAGUUUAUUACAUUUUGGAUUUAUUAGUCUGUGAAUUGUACUGCAUUUAACAACUGCCUUGUGACUUACUUACUUUCACCAAUGCAACUGCAGAAUUCUAAAAGAUGACACGAAUGAAUAAUACAGCAAUGGAAUGGUGAAGCAUGUGGUUUAGCAUCACGGUCAGAAGGACCUGUGUUCAAAUCUCAUCUUGGAUCCUUCUGUGUAGAGAUAGUUUGUGUUAGAAUUUUUGUUCUUCCCGUGCUGAAAUGGAUUUUCUCCGGUUGCUCCGCCCUACUCCCACGUUCCCAAAAAAAUCCAUAUUAAUUAAUUGAAUGUGUAUCCAUAGGUGUGAAUGGUUAUCUGCCUACAUGUUCCCUGUGCUGGACAAGUGGCCAGUACAGCAUACACGUCUCUCAGUCAUUAAUUUACCGUUUUGUGCUACCCUAUACAU